AAGACUAUACUUUCAGGGAUCAUUUCUACAGUUUGUUACUGGAGAAAUUUUUCUGAAUGCAUAGAGCGCAUGAAACCACAAGGAGGAGGCACAGCGCUCUUCCUGAAUGUGAAGCAGCUGUUGGUGGUGCUUUUGCAACUACUAUUGGCUGUUGAUGAUCAUUCUUCUCUUCCUUCGAGAGUGUAAGAGGGAGAGGAUGCAGUCGUAGUGGU